GGCGGCUCGUGGAGCCUCUCAAUAGUUCCCAGAAGUAGCAGCAAACACAUGCCGCGCCGUAGAGAUGAAGCAGAACAAACCGUUUGCGACGCACUUUUAAAAGUCUGCAUUAUAGUGAGCAAAAGCAUACUCGAUCAAGGCAGCAAACACAAACACAUAGCAGAUCCAGAAGUACACAUCCAGAGCUUUGAUAGCAGAGGCACGUGGCAACGAUGAACGAGCGCUGACCAUCAGCGUUGUCAUGACUGACCUAAAGACACUCUUGCCGGCACAGCUGAUUGGCUGAUCCAGAAAGAGACCCAUGACAUGGCAACCAAUAGGAUGGAGGGCAUGUAGGACUGGAUGAUGUAAACUCCUCGGUUACGCCUCAGCUGGAAAC